CUACUGACGAGUUUGAUCCUGGCUACAGAACGAACGCUGGCGGCAAGGCCUAACACAUGCAAGUCGAGCGAGGUAGCAAUACCUAGCGGCGACGGGUGAGUAACGCGUGGGAACGUACCCUUUGCUACGGAAUAGCCCCGGGAAACUGGGAGUAAUACCGUAUGUGCCCUUCGGGGGAAAGAUUUAUCGGCAAAGGAUCGGCCCGCGUUGGAUUAGGUAGUUGGUGGGGUAAUGGCCUACCAAGCCGACGAUCCCAUAGCUGGUUUGAGAGGAUGAUCAGCCACACUGGGACUGAGACACGGCCCAGACUCCUACGGGAGGCAGCAGUGGGGAAUCUUAGACAAUGGGCGCAAGCCUGAUCUAGCCAUGCCGCGUGAGUGAUGAAGGCCUUAGGGUUGUAAAGCUCUUUCAGAUGGGAAGAUAAUGACGGUACCAUCAGAAGAAGCCCCGGCUAACUCCGUG
rnacentral:rRNA from 1 species